AUAUUACCCCCUUGUGUGUUUGUCCAGCAAAGUCCAGUAUAACCAGAUUCAGCUGCUUGAAUUUUUUUUACUAGAUUUCAUCUUUGCCUUGGCCAGCAUUGGUUGCAUUCCUAGACGCCUACGUCAAACCUGCUGGUCCGUAUUUAAAUAGUUUCCCGUCACUGAGGCUGAGAAACAACACUGCUUUUCGCCAGGACUCGUCACACAGACAGAACCUCACAGCCUCGCGGUAGGCAACUUCAGUCCUGACAGAACAUUACUGAGGAGACAGCAUCAUCAUCACAUAAUGAAUCUGGACGGGAAAAUUGUGACAGUCCGUAAAUUCUCAGAUGGAGUGAAGAUAUGUGCCAUUGACCAACCGAAUUCAAUAACUGCUGAACAUGAGGUGAAAAUAAUAAGAAGUGUGAGAGAAGAGAAAAUACUGCUGGCUUUCCAUUUCCGCCGUAAAGAGAAAACUUAUUGUACAAAGGUGGUGGAAGAAUGCCUCAAGGUAGAGGAAACUGAUUGCUGUGAUGGAAACCCAAAAAAUAUAUCUGAUAACCACUGGUUUGUGAUGGAGAAAAAUGGGAAUGGUAAAAACUACAACCUGCACACUUUGUGUGCCCCCAAGCUUUACCUUUCAUUGCUAUUUGAGAAGCCCUACACUUUUACCCUAACUGACUUCCCCCAGAAGUUUGCUGAGUUCUUGCCGUCAAAAAUUUGAGGCAUCCAACUCCAACCCAACUUCCCCUUCUACAGCAUAUUAUCACCAUGCUUCCUUUGUACCCCAUGCUACCGGAUAUGCUCCAUCUCUGGACCAAGAUAGCAUUGGAGUUAUUCUGAAGAUGUUUUCAAUUCACUGGUGGGGCUUGGUGUCAACUUGUACUUUAUUCUAGGGGUAUUCUUGCUUUUAAAGUAGAGUUUCCUAAUAUAUAGAUUUUGAGUCUACUCCAAAAACACCGGACACUUAAUUUCCAAUUCUGAUAAUGUCAGAUGAAUGAAAUGAAACUCAAAAUACUUGAUCUUAGACUUACAAGACAUUAAACAACUGUUUUCAGAAGUUGUGUGAUUUUGACUAUGUAGAUAACACCGAGACCACUCGAGCCAUCGACAUCCAAGAUUAUAUAUUUUUUUCAUAAAACUAUAUCUUUGCGGUUUGUUGUACUUCAAUGAUUGCUGAAUGACUAUUUCUGACUUGUGUUGCUGGUGUUGGAAAAGAAGAGUUGCAAUGUUGCCUGUCUAUGUUCUUUGUCACUUUUUUACUUAUUCUGUAGCCAAACAUGAGCACUUUAUUAAUAAACAGAUACAUUACAUGA